CCUACGGGGGGCAGCAGUGAGGAAUAUUGGUCAAUGGACGAGAGUCUGAACCAGCCAAGUAGCGUGAAGGAUGACUGCCCUAUGGGUUGUAAACUUCUUUUAUAUGGGAAUAAACUGUUCCACGUGUGGGAUUUUGUAUGUACCAUAUGAAUAAGGAUCGGCUAACUCCGUGCCAGCAGCCGCGGUAAUACGGAGUAUCCGAGCGUUAUCCGGAUUUAUUGGGUUUAAAGGGAGCGUAGGUGGAUAGUUAAGUCAGUUGUGAAAGUUUGCGGCUCAACCGUAAAAUUGCAGUUGAAACUGGCAGUCUUGAGUACAGUAGAGGUGGGCGGAAUUCGUGGUGUAGCGGUGAAAUGCUUAGAUAUCACGAAGAACUCCGAUUGCGAAGGCAGUUCACUGGACUGCAACUGACACUGAGGCUCGAAAGUGUGGGUAUCAAACAGGAUUAGAUACCCCUGUAGUC
rnacentral:rRNA from 1 species